CAAAUGCUCUGUUUUGGUUACAGUAAGAAGAAAGCUCAGAAAACACUUUCAUCUAUUCGAAUUUGAUAGGGAGGGUGAUGGGGAUGAUCGAGAAUGAUGGCUCCCUGAUCAGACCAUACGUGAUCUGUUCUGUUGUAAGUGCAAUAGUGCAGGUGGCAUCAUUGCAGGCCGCAUCAGCAUUUGCACAUGAAGUAGGUGUUAAGGGGCUGAGGAUUAUUUCUGGUGCAAAUUUCAGUAAGCAAAAGUUGUAUAGAGAAAUUGUGGAAUGGUUCUUAUUUCAACUACGACAAUAAUGGUAGCCGCUCAAGUGCAAAGGAUGAUAAAUUUUGUUAUACAAACCUGUUUUCAACUAGGCUUUGCAGCGAAAUAGCCGGAAUGGUGACAUUGCAAGAGACUGAGAAUGAUUUUUGACCAAAGUGACCAUUUGGAGAAAAAUGCAUACCAGUUUGUACAAGUUACAGAUGAGCCUGCAAUGGCAUUGGCACCAGGACUAGCUCCCAUUUUUUCUACAUUCCAAGACCAAGAUUCUGCUGCCUCAGCACACCUACUGCACCUCCUUUAACCAUGGUGUAGAUUCCUCCCUUCCCAGAUAUUUCUGCUGAAUCUAUCCUCUCGUUACAGCAUCUUGGCCAACUUCUCACCAGAUAUUUCAACACCUUUUUACCCCUUAGUAGCUCCACAGCCAUCUUUUAAGCUUCUGCUGAAGCCUUGCUAGCUCUGUACCUCCAACCAAUCUAGAGAGUGAGGUAAUUCAUUUCUUCUCAUAUCUUGAUCAAGAAAUAUGCUUUCACUUCAUAUGCAUUCAUUCUCAACUACAGGUGAUGCAGG